AUCGAUAAAAGUUAUUAUUUUUUCGCUAAUUAAUACUCCCUCUAGUCCAUAUUAACUUAAAAGGAAGGUGGUGAUAGUUCAUGUAGGAAAUUUACGCAUCUGAUAAUUCAGGUAAAAAAAUCGAAAAAUCAAGAUACUUUAGGUGUGUUUUUGACGAUUUUCGAUCCUGCAAGCAGCAAGCAACAACGGCUUUUCAACCAUUGCGCGCUAGCUUGUUAUAGCACAUGCUCCAAGGACUUCACGGACUAAGGAAGCACGGGAGACUAUUUUCCGCUAGUAACACAACAAGGGGAUCGUUAGACUGUAGCUUGCGCAAAGGAAGAAGCUAAUCAAUCAGAAUUGAGACAGGGAGGAGAGGCGAAAGAGAGAUUUUCAAGCCUGCUUGUGCGACAACAGUACAGUAAAUCAACAGCAACACCACCACCACCACCAACAGUACCGUGAUCUUAUAAGUUAUUCCGAACAGAAAACGACCAACGAUCUUAAUUAACAUCACCUUCCGCAGCAUCAGCAUCUGAAUCUGAAUCUUCAGUAUCGUGAUAAUCGUAAUUAUGAAGUGCUUGGAGGAGCAUCCCUGUAUAUGUGACUUGUAGAAAUGAGAAACAAGAGUGUAACCUUGAUAAAAUUAAUACAAAGUGUUUCGCUUCUUCAUAUUUCAAUUAUUUCGUAAAAGAAUUGGUUCCAUGUAAACCUCAUUUUACUAUAAUUUAUACAAUGGAUAGUUUAUUCAUUUAA